ACUUCACUGAGCCUCAUUAUAUACAUUGGAUAACUUGGAUAUCAGGGCUUAUUCAGACAUUACUUUAUGCUGAUUUCUUCUACUAUUACUUCCAAAGCUGGAAGAACAAUGUUAAGCUUCAGUUACCAGCUUGAGCUUGUAUUUUGACAAAUUGUUGGCAGGCUAAGGAUUCCAAGAAGCAUGCAAGACUAUGAAUUUUUUGUAUCGCAGGUGCUUGGUUUUCUGGUCUUGUCACCCCAUCAUUUUGAGUGCUCUAAUUGGCAUGUUAAGCACAACAUGUGUUGCUGCUACUAUUAUUUUUUUCAUCAAGCGGGGUUUUUUUUCACCCCAUAUAUCGGAUGUUUGAUUUACUGUGUAGUCGAGCAGGGAUUUUAGGGUUUUUUUUAUUUGAAAAUUUGGUAUUGGAAGUAAAACAAAUUCAUGUGGUUAUGUUGAUUCUCUGUUAAGAGUUGUAUUCCUUGU